AGCUGGGUGGUGGCCUUGUGGUUAGAGCAUCCACCUCAGAUAUGGGAGGUCAUGGGUUCGAACCCCGGCCAAGUCA